UGCCAGACUCCUACGGGAGGCAGCAGUGGGGGAUAUUGCACAAUGGGGGAAACCCUGAUGCAGCGACGCCGCGUGGGUGAAGAAGCGCCUCGGCGCGUAAAGCCCUAUCGGCAGGGAAGAAGGAGGACGGUACCUGACUAAGAAGCCCCGGCUAACUACGUGCCAGCAGCCGCGGUAAUACGUAGGGGGCAAGCGUUAUCCGGAUUUACUGGGUGUAAAGGGGGCGCAGACGGCAGCGCAAGCCAGGAGUGAAAGCCCGGGGCCCAACCCCGGGACUGCCCUUGGAACUGCAUGGCUGGAGUGCGGGAGGGGCAGGCGGAAUCCCUGGUGUAGCGGUGAAAUGCGUAGAUAUCAGGAGGAACACCGGCGGCGAAGGCGGCCUGCUGGACCGCGACUGACGUUGAGGCUCGAAAGCGUGGGGAGCGAACAGGAUUAGAUACCCCAGUAAA
rnacentral:rRNA from 1 species